CCUACGGGAGGCAGCAGUGGGGAAUUUUGGACAAUGGGCGAAAGCCUGAUCCAGCCAUGCCGCGUGCAGGAUGAAGGCCUUCGGGUUGUAAACUGCUUUUGUACGGAACGAAAAGACUCUGGUUAAUACCUGGGGUCCAUGACGGUACCGUAAGAAUAAGCACCGGCUAACUACGUGCCAGCAGCCGCGGUAAUACGUAGGGUGCAAGCGUUAAUCGGAAUUACUGGGCGUAAAGCGUGCGCAGGCGGUUAUAUAAGACAGAUGUGAAAUCCCCGGGCUCAACCUGGGAACUGCAUUUGUGACUGUAUAGCUAGAGUACGGCAGAGGGGGAUGGAAUUCCGCGUGUAGCAGUGAAAUGCGUAGAUAUGCGGAGGAACACCGAUGGCGAAGGCAAUCCCCUGGGCCUGUACUGACGCUCAUGCACGAAAGCGUGGGGAGCAAACAGGAUUAGAUACCCUGGUAGUCCACGCCCUAAACGAUGUCAACUGGUUGUUGGGUCUUCACUGACUCAGUAACGAAGCUAACGCGUGAAGUUGACCGCCUGGGGAGUACGGCCGCAAGGUUGAAACUCAAAUGAAUUGACGG
rnacentral:rRNA from 1 species